UACAUUUCACCAAAAUCAAGGUUUCAUUAUUAUUGGCACUCCUCACUUCGUACUUAGUGCCACUAGUGCCAAAGAUAACAGCGUGGUCUUUUCCUGUAAUGUUUGACAAGGUUAAGGAACACAUUUGGAGGGAUUUUGGACCAUUCCUCAAUGCAGAUCCUUUCAAGAUCGUUCACAUUCUUGGGUUUGCACUUAUCAACUGCCCUCUUCAACUCAGCCCACAGGUUUUCACUUAUCAACUUCCCUCUUCAACUCAGCCCACAGGUUUGCACUUAUCAACUUCCCUCUUCAACUCAGCCCACAGGUUUUCACUUAUCAACUUCCCUCUUCAACUCAGCCCACAGGUUUUCACUUAUCAACUUCCCUCUUCAACUCAGCCCACAGGUUUUCACUUAUCAACUUCCCUCUUCAACUCAGCCCACAGGUUUUCACUUAUCAACUUCCCUCUUCAACUCAGCCCACAGGUUUUCACUUAUCAACUUCCCUCUUCAACUCAGCCCACAGGUUUUCACUUAUCAACUUCCCUCUUCAACUCAGCCCACAGGUUUUC